rnacentral:rRNA from 1 species
GACGAACGCUGGCGGCGUGCCUAAUACAUGCAAGUAGAACGCUGAAGAGAGGAGCUUGCUCUUCUUGGAUGAGUUGCGAACGGGUGAGUAACGCGUAGGUAACCUGCCUUGUAGCGGGGGAUAACUAUUGGAAACGAUAGCUAAUACCGCAUAACAAUGGAUGACACAUGUCAUUUAUUUGAAAGGGGCAAUUGCUCCACUACAAGAUGGACCUGCGUUGUAUUAGCUAGUAGGUGAGGUAAUGGCUCACCUAGGCGACGAUACAUAGCCGACCUGAGAGGGUGAUCGGCCACACUGGGACUGAGACACGGCCCAGACUCCUACGGGAGGCAGCAGUAGGGAAUCUUCGGCAAUGGGGGCAACCCUGACCGAGCAACGCCGCGUGAGUGAAGAAGGUUUUCGGAUCGUAAAGCUCUGUUGUAAGUCAAGAACGGGUGUGAGAGUGGAAAGUUGACACUGUGACGGUAGCUUACCAGAAAGGGACGGCUAACUACGUG